AAACUCGCUUGGACUGUAUUUUGUUUUAAUGUUAUUCUUAAAAUAACCAAAAACUAAAUUAGUAUUCACUGAAACUAUAGAGAUGAAAAAUAAAAGAUUUGUCAGUAGAAAUAUCGAAAUCCGGUUUCUAACGUUGAAAGUCCGCUCUACGUUUCAAAACUUGUGGAAUUAUUUUAGCUGAUCUGGUCUUUAAACGUGCCGAAGUUGGAAGAAAAUGCAAAGUGUAAAUUAAAAAUAAAAUAGAAAUAGCUGUUUACAAGAAAUUGUUGAGGCUAUUCAUAUUAUCAAUUUUAAGUUAGCCGUAGAAUGCUAUUUGUUAAGCCUAACAGUAUCACAUGAUUUAGCGUCAAAAGUUUUGAUAACCAUAAAUAAUUCAUAUUAGAUAUCUAUAGAAUGAUAAGUUUCUUUUUUAUGAGUGUAAAACACUUAAAAACUCCAUUUCGACACCUCACUACCAUAAAAGCUUGGUUUGGUCUGAAGUUUCAUUUGGUGGUCGUGUCCAGGGUCACUGAAGAUGAGUGGACUUCUUCUAUACUAGUCUGGCCCACAGACACACCCCCAAUGAAACAAUAGACCAUUCCAAGCUUUUACUUGUUGUUAAACAAAUGUCAUAGUAGUUUUGCCAUUAGUCGACUAUUAACUAUUUUGAUAUUACAAUUUGCAGAUAAUUUGUGUCACGAGUGAUAUCUAACCAGAUCUAGUCUUAAAAAUUAUGACGAAUAAGACUGCAAAUGGCAAUAGUUAUUAAUACUACAGUAUACUGUCAAACUCAAAGUGAGUUCAUAUAUACUAGAGAAACAAAAAUCCUUUGCAGCUUGAACUAUAAGUUUAUCAAUAAUAAUUUAGUUAAACAUUUUGCAGCGCAGCCUUACUCAAAACUCGACAAUGGCCAACUUAGCUGUCUAAAGUUGUAGAAAUGUAAUAAUAAUUAAUAUUUGUAUAGUAUUCUACUACCAUUAGUAGUACUAAACUGUUUUAAAGUUAAGUGUUGAUGGAAUAAAUUUAAUGGAUAUUCGUAUUAUUAGAUUUUAAUGAGUAGUGUUUAACAUCCUAUUGCUAUAAAACCGAAGUCAGCAAUGAGCCCAUAUGUGUGUUGUAUUAGAAUGUCUUGUAAAAUCCCAAUAUAUUUGACACUUUAUUUACAUAAGAAUAACCCAAACUUAGCAGUGGGUGCUGCAUUCUCUCUGGUUGAGGAGUUAAAAAUCAGUAACCCUUUGGGUAGCUUUGCAUGACAAAUCUGGGGAAUCUCUUUAAAAAUUUUGUGACAUGUCACAUGUGCAGUUCGACACUUCUAUAUGCAUAAGGUUAGUAACAGCAUGUAAUGAAAAUUUAGGUGUUUAUUUGUUUAGGAGAUGUCACUGUAACAAUGUGUUAGUGAGAUAUAAGUUUUAUUUGUUUGUUGACAUUCAUACUGCUAACCUCAUAUAAGUGUUUAAAGGGUGGUAAACUGAUGUAAUGAUGGAAGUAUUGGAGAUUAAAAUAGAAUCCUUUAGUGAUGAGGAGCAGGAUAAUUUCUGGAGGAAUGAAGAAAAAACAUCAAUUUGUGGGUUAACUAGCAAGACAGUUUUGAGAGAACAGUAUGCAGUAUUGUAGUUGGAAUGAUAUAUGACGGGACUUCACUUACCUGGUGUAAUUACCAUUAAUGUAUUGUAGUUACAACCAGAAGAGGGUUAAUAACACACUUGUCACAGUAAAAAAUGAGCAACUUGAUGAUUCAUCACAUUAUGGCAUCGUUUAUAAGUUCAAUGAGAGUGAUGAUGAAAUUUUGAAUUUGAAAAGGAAAAAGAGCCAAAAGAAUAUUCUACAUUAGAUGCUUUAACAACAGGAGAAGCUGCUUCUGUAGAAGAACAAUUUUUACACUCCAUCACUGAUUUUAAAGUACCAAAAGAAGAGCAAGAGAACAGUGAUGGAAUACUGUUGAAAACUGAGAACACAUUUGUUCAAGUAAACACCAAGAAUCCUGGUGAUUCGCCACAAGAUGGCAUUAUUUCUAAGUUCAGCGAGAGUGGUGACGAAGCUCUAGAUUCUUCAGAAGAAGAUGUUAUGAGUUGGAAAAAAGAAAAUGAACCAAAAGAAGAAAUAGAACAAGUUAAUUCUAAGUUAGAAUUAAAUAUAUAGUUAUCAAGAAUUAUAUUCAUUAACCAUGUGGAUGUAGACACACUACUUAGUAGAAAAGUUUUAUUUUUAUAUUGAGUUAAGUAAUCAUGCUAAAAUAUACUGUAUAAUACAAAAUUUUAUUCAGAAUUAAUGUUAGAUUUGUGUGGUGCUGCUUAAUAUCUCCUGGAAAUUCUGUGGUAGAAACCUUAGUCACCUUAGUUAAGAUACUCAAAAAGUGAUUGGUCACAGUUUCUUGGUCAAGAAGCAUCUUAAUAAGAAACUAAUUAGAUUUCCUCUACAUUCAAAAAUGACUAUUAAUCAAACAAAUUAGCUGUAUAGUAUGGGAAUAAGCAUUAGAGUUGUGAUAUCUAUAAUACACUUUUUAUUUCUGUGAAAUGAUGCCAUAGUUGAACAAUAUGUCAGUUUCACCUAAACAUGAACAUUAAUAAUGGUCAGUUUUGUGUUUAAUCACUCAUUAACAUAAAAAGUGUGUUCAAUAAACUGAGGGCUCGAACUGUAUAGCAACAACAGUAAGGUAGUGUUCAAUAAACUGAGGGCUAGAAUUGUAUGGUAACAACAGUAAUGUAAUGUUCAAUAAACUGAUGGCUAGAAUUGUACGGUAACAACAGUAACAUAGUGUUCAAUAAACUGAUGGCUAGAAUUGUAUGGCAACAACAGUAAUGUAGCAAGUAUAUCCACACAUUCCAACACAAUUUUUUGUUUUCUUUCCACACUUGUAUGGCAUGGCCAGGUGGUUAGGGAGCUCGACUUACAAUAUGCGGAUCGCGGGUUUGAAUCCCUGUCCGACCAAACACGCUAGCCCUUUCAGCCACAGGGGCAUUAUAAUGUAAUAGUCAAUCCCUCUAUUCAUCAACAAAAGAGUAGCCCAUGAGUUGGCAGUGGGUAGUGAUGACUAGCUGUCUUCCCUCUAGUCUUACACUGCU
rnacentral:lncRNA from 1 species